GGGGCUGAUUCUGGAUUCGACGGGAUUAGCGAAGCCCAAGGUGCACGUCGAGGUGCGGUAGGCCUCGUAAAUAAACCGCAAAAAAAUAGUCGCAAACGACGAACAAUACGCUUUAGCAGCUUAAUAACCUGCAUUUAGCCUUCGCGCCCCAGCUUCCGCUCGUAAGACGGGGAGUUUGCGGAGUCAACCCAAAACGAGAUCGUGUGGAAGCCGCCGUUUGAGGAUCGAAGCAUUAAAUUAAAUCAAACUAGUUCAAGUUUAGCGUGUCUGUUCGCAUACUUGAAUGAAAUUAAAGACCGACUAAACGUGUAGUACUGAAGGUAGAGUAAUUUCGGACGCGGGUUCAACUCCCGCCAGCUCCACCA
rnacentral:tmRNA from 1 species